GAUGAACGCUGGCGGCGUGCCUAAUACAUGCAAGUCGAGCGAACAGACGAGGAGCUUGCUCCUCUGACGUUAGCGGCGGACGGGUGAGUAACACGUGGAUAACCUACCUAUAAGACUGGGAUAACUUCGGGAAACCGGAGCUAAUACCGGAUAAUAUAUUGAACCGCAUGGUUCAAUAGUGAAAGACGGUUUUGCUGUCACUUAUAGAUGGAUCCGCGUCGCAUUAGCUAGUUGGUAAGGUAACGGCUUACUAAGGCAACGAUGCGUAGCCGACCUGAGAGGGUGAUCGGCCAAACUGGAACUGAGACACGGUCCAGACUCCUACGGGAGGCAGCAGUAGGGAAUCUUCCGCAAUGGGCGAAAGCCUGACGGAGCAACGCCGCGUGAGUGAUGAAGGUCUUCGGAUCGUAAAACUCUGUUAUUAGGGAAGAACAAAUGUGUAAGUAACUAUGCACGUCUUGACGGUACCUAAUCAGAAAGCCACGGCUAACUACGUG
rnacentral:rRNA from 1 species